rnacentral:rRNA from 1 species
GUGGGGAAUAUUGGACAAUGGGCGAAAGCCUGAUCCAGCCAUGCCGCGUGUGUGAAGAAGGUCUUCGGAUUGUAAAGCACUUUAAGUUGGGAGGAAGGGUAGUAACCUAAUACGUUGCUACUUUGACGUUACCGACAGAAUAAGCACCGGCUAACUUCGUGCCAGCAGCCGCGGUAAUACGAAGGGUGCAAGCGUUACUCGGAAUUACUGGGCGUAAAGCGUGCGUAGGUGGUGGUUUAAGUCCGUUGUGAAAGCCCUGGGCUCAACCUGGGAAUUGCAGUGGAUACUGGAUCACUAGAGUGUGGUAGAGGGAUGCGGAAUUUCUGGUGUAGCAGUGAAAUUCGUAGAUAUUCGGAGGAACACCAGUGGCGAAGGCGACUUACUGGUCCAUUACUGACGCUGAGGUGCGAAAGCGUGGGGAGCAAACAGGAUUAGAAACCCGUGUAGUCC